GAGUUUGAUCCUGGCUCAGGAUGAACGCUGGCGGCAGGCUUAAUACAUGCAAGUCGAACGGUAACGACCGGUAGCAAUACUGGGGCGACGAGUGGCGCACGGGUGCGUAACGCGUAUGCAACCUACCCUCAACCGGGGCAUAACGCCGAGAAAUUGGCGCUAAUAUCCCAUGUGUAUAUGGAGUGGCAUCUCUUCAUAUAUAAAGAUCCGUUGGUUAAGGAUGGGCAUGCGUAACAUUAGCUAGUUGGCGGGGUAACGGCCCACCAAGGCGACGAUGUUUAGGGGUUCUGAGAGGAUUCACCCCCACACUGGAACUGAGACACGGUCCAGACUCCUACGGGAGGCAGCAGUAGGGAAUAUUGGGCAAUGGAGGCAACUCUGACCCAGCCAUGCCGCGUGAAGGAAGACGGCCCUAUGGGUUGUAAACUUCUUUUGCCGCAGAGUAACCGCGGGGACGAGUCCCUGCCUGAGAGUAUGCGGCGAAUAAGUAUCGGCUAACUCCGUGCCAGCAGCCGCGGUAAUACGGAGGAUACGAGCGUUAUCCGGAUUUAUUGGGUUUAAAGGGUGCGCAGGCGGACCGUUAAGUCAGGGGUGAAAAGUUGGGGCUCAACUCCAAUCGUGCCUUUGAUACUGGCGGACUAGAGUGCAGGGGACGUGACUGGAAUGUGAUGUGUAGCGGUGAAAUGCUUAGAUAUGUCACAGAACGCCGAUCGUGAAGACAGGUCACGAAUCUGCAACUGACGCUCAUGCACGAAAGCGUGGGGAUCAAACAGGAUUAGAUACCCUGGUAGUCCACGCUGUAAACGAUGAUCACUCGUUGUUGGCCGGUGACGGUCAGUGGCUAAGCGAAAGCGAUAAGUGAUCCACCUGGGGAGUACGAUCGCAAGGUUGAAACUCAAAGGAAUUGACGGGGACCCGCACAAGCGGUGGAGCAUGUGGUUUAAUUCGAAGCAACGCGAAGAACCUUACCAGGCCUUGACAUCCCAAGGAAAGCUUCUUAACCGAAGCCCCUCUUCGGAGUCUUGGAGACAGGUGGUGCAUGGUUGUCGUCAGCUCGUGUCGUGAGAUGUUGGGUCAAGUCCCGCAACGAGCGCAACCCUUGUCCGUAGUAGCCAGCAGUAAGAUGGGAACUCUACGGAGACUGCCGGGGAUAACCUGGAGGAAGGUGGGGAUGACGUCAAAUCAUCAUGCCCCUUACGGUCUGGGCGACACACGUGCUACAAUGGCGUAACAAAGGGAAGCGAGCCCGCGAGGGGGAGCAAACCCCAAAAAUAGCGUCCCAGUUCGGACUGUAGUCUGCAACCCGACUACACGAAGCCGGAAUCGCUAGUAAUCGCGGAUCAGAAUGCCGCGGUGAAU
rnacentral:rRNA from 1 species